CGUUCAGUUAAAAGUUAUAU
rnacentral:snRNA from 1 species